rnacentral:rRNA from 1 species
CAUGAAGCUGGAAUCGCUAGUAAUCGCGGAUCAGAAUGCCGCGGUGAAUACGUUCCCGGGUCUUGUACACACCGCCCGUCACACCAUGGGAGUCGGAAAUGCCCGAAGUCAGUGACCUAACCGAAAGGAAGGAGCUGCCGAAGGUGGAGCCGGUAACUGGGGUGAAGUCGUAACAAGGUAGC